UACGUAGGGUGCGAGCGUUAAUCGGAAUUACUGGGCGUAAAGCGUGCGCAGGCUGUUUUGUAAGUCAGAUGUGAAAUCCCCGAGCUCAACUUGGGAACUGCGUUUGAAACUACAAGACUAGAAUAUGUCAGAGGGGGGGUAGAAUUCCACGUGUAGCAGUGAAAUGACGUAGAGAUGUGGAGGAAUACCAAUGGCGAAGGCAGCCCCCUGGGAUAAUAUUGACGCUCAU
rnacentral:rRNA from 1 species